CCUGGAAUCGUCUAGUGGUUAGGACACCAGGUUCUGAUUGUGCCGUCCAUCCGAACACAGCAUUUCCUGGUAACCUGGGUUCAAACCCCAGUUCCAGGU
rnacentral:tRNA from 1 species